GUUGACCUCGAAUCAGGUAGGGAUACCCGCUGAACUUAAGCAUAUCAAUAAGCGGAGGA
rnacentral:rRNA from 3 species